rnacentral:rRNA from 1 species
CAUCCUCCAAGGCUAAAUACUCCUGACUGACCGAUAGUGAACCAGUACCGUGAGGGAAAGGCGAAAAGAACCCCGGCGAGGGGAGUGAAAAAGAACCUGAAACCGUGUACGUACAAGCAGUGGGAGCACGCUUAGGCGUGUGACUGCGUACCUUUUGUAUAAUGGGUCAGCGACUUAUAUUCUGUAGCAAGGUUAACCGAAUAGGGGAGCCGAAGGGAAACCGAGUCUUAACUGGGCGUUAAGUUGCAGGGUAUAGACCCGAAACCCGGUGAUCUAGCCAUGGGCAGGUUGAAGGUUGGGUAACACUAACUGGAGGACCGAACCGACUAAUGUUGAAAAAUUAGCGGAUGACUUGUGGCUGGGGGUGAAAGGCCAAUCAAACCGGGAGAUAGCUGGUUCUCCCCGAAAGCUAUUUAGGUAGCGCCUCGUGAAUUCAUCUCCGGGGGUAGAGCACUGUUUCGGCAAGGGGGUCAUCCCGACUUACCAACCCGAUGCAAACUGCGAAUACCGGAGAAUGUUAUCACGGGAGACACACGGCGGGUGCUAACGUCCGUCGUGAAGAGGGAAACAACCCAGACCGCCAGCUAAGGUCCCAAAGUCAUGGUUAAGUGGGAAACGAUGUGGGAAGGCCCAGACAGCCAGGAUGUUGGCUUAGAAGCAGCCAUCAUUUAAAGAAAGCGUAAUAGCUCACUGGUCGAGUCGGCCUGCGCGGAAGAUGUAACGGGGCUAAACCAUGCACCGAAGCUGCGGCAGCGACGCUGAUGCGUUGUUGGGUAGGGGAGCGUUCUGUAAGCCUGCGAAGGUGUGCUGUGAGGCAUGCUGGAGGUAUCAGAAGUGCGAAUGCUGACAUAAGUAACGAUAAAGCGGGUGAAAAGCCCGCUCGCCGGAAGACCAAGGGUUCCUGUCCAACGUUAAUCGGGGCAGGGUGAGUCGACCCCUAAGGCGAGGCCGAAAGGCGUAGUCGAUGGGAAACAGGUUAAUAUUCCUGUACUUGGUGUUACUGCGAAGGGGGGACGGAGAAGGCUAUGUUGGCCGGGCGACGGUUGUCCCGGUUUAAGCGUGUAGGCUGGUUUUCCAGGCAAAUCCGGAAAAUCAAGGCUGAGGCGUGAUGACGAGGCACUACGGUGCUGAAGCAACAAAUGCCCUGCUUCCAGGAAAAGCCUCUAAGCAUCAGGUAACAUCAAAUCGUACCCCAAACCGACACAGGUGGUCAGGUAGAGAAUACCAAGGCGCUUGAGAGAACUCGGGUGAAGGAACUAGGCAAAAUGGUGCCGUAACUUCGGGAGAAGGCACGCUGAUAUGUAGGUGAAGUCCCUCGCGGAUGGAGCUGAAAUCAGUCGAAGAUACCAGCUGGCUGCAACUGUUUAUUAAAAACACAGCACUGUGCAAACACGAAAGUGGACGUAUACGGUGUGACGCCUGCCCGGUGCCGGAAGGUUAAUUGAUGGGGUUAGCGCAAGCGAAGCUCUUGAUCGAAGCCCCGGUAAACGGCGGCCGUAACUAUAACGGUCCUAAGGUAGCGAAAUUCCUUGUCGGGUAAGUUCCGACCUGCACGAAUGGCGUAAUGAUGGCCAGGCUGUCUCCACCCGAGACUCAGUGAAAUUGAACUCGCUGUGAAGAUGCAGUGUACCCGCGGCAAGACGGAAAGACCCCGUGAACCUUUACUAUAGCUUGACACUGAACAUUGAGCCUUGAUGUGUAGGAUAGGUGGGAGGCUUAGAAGUGUGGACGCCAGUCUGCAUGGAGCCGACCUUGAAAUACCACCCUUUAAUGUUUGAUGUUCUAACGUUGACCCGUAAUCCGGGUUGCGGACAGUGUCUGGUGGGUAGUUUGACUGGGGCGGUCUCCUCCUAAAGAGUAACGGAGGAGCACGAAGGUUGGCUAAUCCUGGUCGGACAUCAGGAGGUUAGUGCAAUGGCAUAAGCCAGCUUGACUGCGAGCGUGACGGCGCGAGCAGGUGCGAAAGCAGGUCAUAGUGAUCCGGUGGUUCUGAAUGGAAGGGCCAUCGCUCAACGGAUAAAAGGUACUCCGGGGAUAACAGGCUGAUACCGCCCAAGAGUUCAUAUCGACGGCGGUGUUUGGCACCUCGAUGUCGGCUCAUCACAUCCUGGGGCUGAAGUAGGUCCCAAGGGUAUGGCUGUUCGCCAUUUAAAGUGGUACGCGAGCUGGGUUUAGAACGUCGUGAGACAGUUCGGUCCCUAUCUGCCGUGGGCGCUGGAGAACUGAGGGGGGCUGCUCCUAGUACGAGAGGACCGGAGUGGACGCAUCACUGGUGUUCGGGUUGUCAUGCCAAUGGCACUGCCCGGUAGCUAAAUGCGGAAGAGAUAAGUGCUGAAAGCAUCUAAGCACGAAACUUGCCCCGAGAUGAGUUCUCCCUGACUCCUUGA